rnacentral:snRNA from 1 species
AUCUCUCCUUGGCAGGGGAGAUACCAAGACCACAGAAGCCGUUUUCCAAGGGCAAGGCUGAUCCAUUGCCCUCUGGACGUGCAGACUCCUGCGAUGGGAAGCUUGACUGUUUAAAUCGUGGUAGUGGAGGACUGUGUUUCUGCUCCCCCCUU